rnacentral:rRNA from 1 species
GACUGUGACCAUACCAUCCUGAACACGCCCGAUCUCGUAUGAUCUCAGAAGCUAAGCAGAGUUGGCCCUGGUUAGUACUUGGAUGGGAGAAUUUCAGGAGAGUGCUGGAC